CUACUUCUCUUUUCUUUAUUUUUUAUUUUUAAAUUGAAUUGUUUUACUUUUAUUUAUUGAGAUCUUAAUUACUCUUGAGAAAAAAUAGUCUUGAAUUUUCCAGUUGUGAGUAUUUUUUGUAUUAAUAGAAUCAAUAGUCUUGUUAGUAUUCUUAGGGGUUUUUGUUUAUCUUUUGUUGAAAAUCAAUUUAAGAAGUUUGAUUUCCUUAAAUUUAACCAAGUUGUCUUGGCCUAGUGGUAAAGGGGCUCCGGCUGGAGUUUCCGCCCUGGGUUCGAUUCCGCUUGGCCACCGGGGCUAGCGUUAAAUCGCAAGAAUACGUGGGUUGCCGUCGGCCUCAGGGGAUUAGUCUUGGGCUUAGAAAGCCUUUGGAUCACCCCCUGGUUAAUCAAAAAAAAAAUUUCCUUAAAUUUCUGUAACUUUUUAACAAUUUCUAAUUUAAUGAUUAGUUUUACAAUGAGUGUUUAAAAAAAAAAAGAAGAUUAGUUUUACAAUAAAAACAGAAGAGUUUGACAUUCUUAGAAUUAUACUAAAUUACGUUAAGGACCACACUAAUUCGUUAAGUCAUUUUACCUUUAAUUAUGAGCAGGGCCGGUUCAUUAUAUAUGAUGGCCUCCAAAUUAUGGAAUUUGUUAUAAAUAUUGUAGUGAUGUCCAUAUGGAAAGUCCUAGAUAUACUUGUUCCCCACUCCAAGUUAAGCUUUGUCUCCAAGCUAUUGUAUCCUAUAUAAGGAGAUCAUUAUUCAUGGAAUAAGACACACCAGUGCCGAGUAUCAAUGUGAGAUGAUAUACGGUGAUGCUGAAGAAGCUAAGAAAAGAAAAUUCGGGUGGACUCAUAUAGAUGAUGAGAUUGGUUUAUUCAUUGAAUAGAGAACCAAAUGUGAGCCACGUCCAAGAUGUUAUUAUGGACUGGCCGGCUAUUGUUUAAGCCUUUUGACAUUCUGAUUUCAUACUUAUGAUUUGGUGUUUUCUUUUAAAUAUAAUUUGUCAUUCAAAUUUCAUAGCAUUAAUAAAAGUUUUUCUUUUAUCUUGAUUGAUUUGCUUGAAAAAUAUUUUUGAUUGACAAAUGAGAAUGAAAACUCGAGAAGAGUAUGUCUAGACCACCACGCCUAAGGCAUGGCCUUAAGAGGCACGAAAUUUAUCACCUAAGACCCAUUGAGAGAGACCAAAAAAAAAAAAAAAAAAAAAAAAAAUCUCCACUGGCCGUGGACAAGGAUACCACAAUAACCGUGGUUGUAGAUCCAAUCAUGGUCGAGGAGGGAGUAAAGGUCGAAAUGGCAUUACAAGCCACAUCAAAAUGGUUUCAAUAAUAAACCAAUGGGCAAAGUAAAGCAAAAGGAAAUGUCCUUUUACCUUAUGAAAAUCGCCAAAGGCAUAUAUAUAAGAGAGGUCGAGACUACAUUCUCCCUACUGAUCUAAUACUAUGCUAAGGAUCAGUGUGAUAAGGCAUAAAAGCCUAGGUAACCAGUAAGGUUCACCAACGAAUUUAUACACUUUAUGGCAUGACCGGAUUAGCCAUCCUGGUCCGAACUUGAUUCAAAGUUUAAAAUUACUAAGGCACAAAGAGUUAUCCCAUAAGAUCUCACGUUGUGAAACAUGUACACAAGGGAAACUCAGUAGGCUUCAUUGUUCCAAGCAACACGAAAGUAUAAUCUGAUCAUAAGGGUAGUGAGGACAAAACCCGUGAUCAUGACCAGACCACAAAUUCGUGUAACAUGGUCUAAAACCAUGCUGGCCGUCCAAGCAUUACGUUUAAGUGAGGACAAACAAAUGUAUUUUAUAGCAUGUUCAUGAGGGGGAGAAUAAACACUCCGUAUGGUCCAUGACCAUACUAUAAAACCCGAACAUGAUAAGCCUGGCCAAAGGCCAUAAGACAUUAUAGCUUGGCCGUAUAAGGCAUAACCUAUAAGGUUGAGACUUCAAAAGUCUAUAAGCUUGGGUACACCACAAGAAUACAUGUAUGAAAGAUAAGAUACAUCAGGCCAUAUAAAGUGAGCAUAGAUAUUCCCGUCUAAAGAUGAUAAAGGGUCAUAAUCCAGAUAUAGACCAUCCUAAGAGUCUAUGAAUAAACCACCACAUACCUAUGUGCCAUCUAGGAUGGAAUACCUCAUCUAAGGAUGAGAUGAAAAUCGGGAAUAUAUGUUGGAUAAGAGAACAUGAUCUUUCUCCCACGAAUUCAGUGAGACCAUGAGCCAAACAAAGGUGAUCAUAUUGUGGCCAAGGUACACGGAUUACAUACAAGAUGAAUCCGACUAUCCAACAUCAUGGAGAAAGCUAUAAGCUGGUAAAUAGAAAGUGAAAGUGGAAUGGUUUUAACCAUCCAAGUCUUGGCAAAGAUCCUCGGACCAGAUAUAUAUGUACUGGACGUCCAUAAACAAAGAAAGAAUGAUAGCCAGACAGACCCGAAAGAAUGACUAAGUCAUACCAGCUUAGCACCACUAUAUAAAUGUCCUAGUAGAGACAUAAUCAAGUUGCUGUAGAAGUCUAUACAAAAUAGACAAGUAUGUUCCAUAUAUAAGGAACCUCGGAUAUAAAGAGAUAAGGUGCUCAUAAUGAUAGAUCCGGGUUCAUGAAAGAGAAACCAUACUAGACAAUAAGAUAAGACCGGCCGGUCCUAAGGUACAGCUAUCAUACAAUGUAGCCUUGCAAACUACAAAGUAUUCAAUGAUCCUGAUAAUAAUAAAAUCUCAAUCGAUUGUAUCAUGUCUAGAACGCGAUAGAACGCGAUGGAACAUUAUAUAAGGUGUCGACAUAUACACACACUCAUAAGUGAUAAAGAGAAAGCACUUGAGCAUAAGAGAUAUGCGAGGAUCACUAACCCACGUAAGAGUACUCAUCAUAGAGAAAUGAAUGGGACGUGGAGUUAUAGUAAAGAAUGAAUAUGAUGGGCGUAUUGGCCAAAUACAUAAGAUAGACGCCAUCUAACCAGUGAACAGAUGAGUCUUGUGAGGAAAAGAAAAUCGUGAGCUGUAGAACAUGAAAGUACAGACAAGUGGUCGUACAUGUUGCUACAUAAAGCAUUCAAAAGGAAUGGCUUGAUCACACAAGGAUACUCACAGGGACUAAGGAACAAGGAAAUAAAUUCCUAGGUGGUGAAUGCUACUACCCAAUAUCGAAAUUAAUAAAGAUUUGGACAUCUAAGGAAGAUGUAGUAGACAUUGGAUAUAUCACUGGAUAUAAAGGUAACAUAAGAUACCUUGAGAAAUAAGAAAGAAGUUCUCAUAGAACAACAUCGUUCCUGCGUUGUUCAUGGACUGAAAUGCAGCUGCAUGCGUGUAUGUACACACGAUAUGAUAAGACUAAGUGAUGCUUAGUAGAAAGUUCCAUAAGAACGUUUCAGAUCAGUCCAUAUAGUAGUCAAUAUAUUCCUUGUGUUUAUACUUAAAGAAAGGAUGUUUAAGAUGAUUGAUUCUUGGAAAGGCUAUGAAGAGACUACGAUGAUCUAUAGUAGAGAUCAUUAGCCGUAUAUGAAGGUUGGAAUCUAUGAUCCAACGUACCAAGAAUAGAUUGAUCAAAUGGUCUGAGAAUCCAUCAGAUUCACGACCAAAGGGAACCAUACCGACUAGGAUCAUGUCCGACCUAGUUCGACCUUAAUCAUCAUUGGUCCUGACCAAUCCAUCCUGUCCAGCUUGUAUCGACCAGUUCCUCUAGGUCUUAAAUCCGACCUAAACCAUCCAAGUGAGAGGAACGUCCUAUUGACCAAAAUUGGCUUAGUUUUGAUUAAACUUCAAACUAUAACACAAUAGCCACUUCAUGAACAGACCGUGGACAUAUACUAAAAGUUCAUAAAGAGUUUUGGUCAAAGGAUAUGAAUAAGAUAUAUAGUGGACAAGAACAUAAUCCGGAUGGAUUAUGGAUGAUGUCUUGAUCCGGACAGAUCAUGGACAUACAAAGACAUUCAUGGUCGAAUUUAUCUAAGAGAGAUAAACCAUAUGAUCCGAAUGGACCAUGAAUAUCAUGAAAGCAUUUUGUUGAUGCAGGUUACCAGUCCGAUCCACACAGUGCUAAGUCCCAAACCGGCUAUGUUUUCACAUAUGGAGGCACGACCAUUUCAUGGAGAUCAGUCAAGCAGACUAUAUCAGCCACAUCAUCCAAUCACUCGGAUAUAUUGGCGAUCCAUGAAGUAAGCAAAGAGUGUGUCUGGUUGAGACUCAUGACACACCAUAUUCGGACAUCAUGUGGGAUCACGGAUGGUAAAGACGAGCCGACCGUUCUUUACGAAGACAAUGCGGCCUGCAUAGCUCAGCUCAAAGAUGGUUACAUCAAGGGUGACAAGACUAAGCAUGUUCUCCCCAAGUUCUUCUUCACCCACGAUCUUCAGAAAGAAGGAGAGGUCAAGGUACUCUAAGUCAGAUCCAGCGAGAACUCAGCCGACCUCUUCACUUAGGCAUUACCAACAUGCACGCUCAGGAAGCUUAUGCAGCAGAUUGGUAUGCGAUCACUGAGAAGCCUUCAGUGAUGUUCACUUCAGGGGAAGUAAUGCGGCUGUACUCUUUUUCCUAUCCAUGGCUUCCCGUUUUUACCACAUUGGGUUUUUGGGUUUACCAUGGAAAGGUUUUAACGAGGCAGUAUUCCAAACGCAUUACAAACUCUAGACGGUUAUGGCAUUACAAUCUCGGUUUUUAACGAGGCAGCAUCUACGGCGUUUUGAAAGCACUUCGAUAUAUUGGACAUCAAGGGGAAGUGUUAUAAAUAUUGUAGUGAUGUCCAUAUGGAAAGUCCUAGAUAUACUUGUUCCCCACUCCAAGUUAAGUUUUGUCUCCAAGCUAUUGUAUCCUAUAUAAGGAGAUCAUUAUUCAUGGAAUAAGACACACCAAUUCCUCUCUUCUCUUCUCUUCUCUUCUUUACUUACAACAGAAUUUUUUUUAUUAAAAUCUGUACAGAAAUUAGUGUCCAAAAUUAUCAAGACUGGCCCUGAUUAUGAGCCAGAUAAAGCAUAAUCUGCGAGAUAUGCCAAUCGGUAGCCAGAAACGUGGGCGGUGCAAACGAGAUGGUAAUGGUAACGGUGGUGGACGAGAGAGAGUUAAGAAACGGCGAGGAAACGGUGGCCUUGGGAGCGAUAGAGAAUAGGUGGCAGCCACAGAGAAUGGUGAAUAUAGUGUUAGCUUGUAUGGUCUUUGGCUUCUUUAUUUCAUGGCUCUUCCAUU